UGCAAUUAAGGUAUAAGAGGUCCUGCCUGCCCAGUGACACUAAGUUUAACGGCCGCGGUAUUAUGACCGUGCAAAGGUAGCGUAAUCACUUGUCUUUUAAAUAAAGACCAGUAUGAAUGGCAAGACGAAAGUUCAACUGUCUCCCUAAAUUAAUCAAUGAAAUUGAUCUUUCCGUGCAGAAGCGGAAAUAUAACUAUAAGACGAGAAGACCCUAUGGAGCUUUAAACACAUAAUCAAUUGUAAAACAUAAAACCCGAAAGAUUAAAUAUAAAAUAAAACAAUCUGAUUAAAAUUUUAGGUUGGGGCGACCACGGAGAAAAACAAAACCUCCGAGAUGAAGAGAAUAUCUUAAUUAAAGAACUACAGUUCUAAAAAAUAAAAUAUUUAACAUAAUUGAUCCAAUAUAUUGAUCAACGAACCAAGUUACCCUAGGGAUAACAGCGCAAUCCUCUCCAAGAGUCCCUAUCGACGAGCGGGU
rnacentral:rRNA from 1 species